CGCUGGCGGCGUGCUUAAUACAUGCAAGUCAAGGGGGGUAGCAAUACAACCGGCGCACGGGUGAGUAACACGUACACAACAUACCAUAUACUGAGGUAUAGCUUCGGGAAACUGAAGGUAAUCCCUCAUAGUAUUGUGAAAGGGCAUCUUUUACAAUUAAAGUUUCGACGGUAUAUGAUUGGUGUGCGUUUGAUUAGCUAGUUGGUAGGGUAACGGCCUACCAAGGCAACGAUCAAUAGCUGGCGUGAGAGCGCGACCAGCCACACUGGAACUGAGACACGGUCCAGACUCCUACGGGAGGCAGCAGUAGGGAAUAUUGGACAAUGGGCGAAAGCCUGAUCCAGCCAUGCCGCGUGAUAGAUGAAGGCCCUCUGGGUUGUAAAUAUCUUUUAUCUGGGAAGAAACACUUCUAUUCUUAGAAGCUUGACGGUACCAGAGGAAUAAGCACCGGCUAACUCCGUG
rnacentral:rRNA from 1 species